rnacentral:rRNA from 1 species
UACGUAGGGUGCGAGCGUUAAUCGGAAUUACUGGGCGUAAAGCGUGCGCAGGCGGUUAUGUAAGACAGAUGUGAAAUCCCCGGGCUCAACCUGGGAACUGCAUUUGUGACUGCAUAGCUAGAGUACGGUAGAGGGGGAUGGAAUUCCGCGUGUGGCAGUGAAAUGCGUAGAUAUGCGGAGGAACACCGAUGGCGAAGGCAAUCCCCUGGACCUGUACUGACGCUCAUGCACGAAAGCGUGGGGAGCAAACAGG